UAGGCCUGUCUGACACUUAAAAUAUUAAAGACUGGAAUAUGCACCGCUACCGUUGAUCUUCACUAUCAAUAUUUAACAUCCUCUUAUGCAUGUAUGCUGAGUUGUCCAAUUUCAUUAAGGCCAUUUGUCAUCCUGGAGGGCACUGGUCUUGAGCCCCGAGGAGCCCAGGGACAAACCGAGGGGGGCUUGUGUCACCAGCACCUAUGUGGGGGGAAAGGAUCCGCCUUCCUUACAGUAUUUACACUGAAUACGGGCAACAAAGUAAAGUCUGUUGUUUUGUUCACCGCCACCGGUCCUAGUGUUAAUCGGGUGAAGAGUGUUUCAAGUGGCUGAAAAAAUGAUCCGCAGUGCUGGACGUGGAAUUAACAAAAUCAAAUUAUAUGAAAUAUAUUUAUUUCAGCUGUGGAUUUUGAAGAUGGCCGCGUGCCACCUCCGAGCAAAAGUACAUCUGUAAACACUUUGAACACAUCAGCAUUUGUUUUUUUCAUUUACUCAGAAUAACGCUUUGAAUGUCAUUGUGUGGGUACACGUUCCGUUUUUUUUUUUCAUUAUGGAGAAAACGUAUGCGUCCCUACGACCAAGGUGCGAAAGAAGUAUAUAACUACAAAUUGUACAUUCGUCAGAUUGUGUCUGCUCUGUGGGCGUCGCUCUUAGCACGUUGACUAAGACAACGCGGCAUACACGGAGCCCUAUUUGCUCGCCCGUACAUUUGGCUCGUGUUUAUCACAUUUCCCCUAACAAUACAUCUCGAUUCCUAAAGGCACAGAAUCUCAAAUGUGACAUUUUAACAACCCUUAUUCCUUUCAUGCUGCACCAUUUCCUUUUUGCACUUUAGUGUCAUUUUCAUUCCAAACCUGAAUUACCAAUUUGUCUUUGUGGCACGGGCAAUUUACAUGCAUCCGUUUCAGGUUUUUUUCCCUUUUUUUUAUAUGCAAAAUGCACUAAAGUGUAGCAUUUUUCCCAUCACAAGGAUAUUUUCCUGGGUCUAAUUUCAUGGUUUUGAUGGUGAGUGAGUCUGUCUCAGAGGAACUGUACCUCUUGUUCUCAUAGCUCCUGGGUGACGUCUUGAUGACAAGUGUCUUUAAUAUGCAUGGAGAAUGGCAGGUCCCACAUUUUGUCCUCACAGUUUUGCAUGUUGAGGGGAAAUUGCCCAGCGCCGGGCUGCGGUUACUGUAGGAGACAAAUGUCAGUUACCAUUCAGAAAGAGAUUCUGGCUUUUUAUGAUUAUUGCCUCUGUGUACCACCAUUAAAAACAAGAGUGGGGGGAAUUGUCCGUGUGGCGUUUCUGGCGGUGUUUCUCGGUGGCUAGGUUCCAGUCGGAAGGGAUGCACAGACAUUUUCCCUCUUAUGAAAGAGGCCCAGUGAUCCCUUGCCAAAGCCCAGAGGCCGGUGUCCUACCACGCCGCUGCCAUGCCUAAAUGGAAUCUGAGGGCUCAUUUGCUUUCAGAAAAAAAACACAUGUUUAUCAGAUUUGUGAAGACAACAAAGACUUGAUGCUCUGCAGAAUGCACCGUUUGUUUGAUCUUUACAGACUAUCAACAUCAUAGCGCCGCAUGACAAAAUAAACAUCCGCAGAUUCUAUAUUAUUUGCUUGCACAUCUUAAGCAGUAAGUUGAGAACUGGAGUUGGUGCAGGUGCAGGUGCUUUGUGGGGAAAACGCAAUUCAAUCUAAAACCACCGAGGGUUGGAAUCCAGAGCACAUCCUUUCCCCCGUCUGUACACAAAUACUAAAUAUUACUGCCAUCAAACAGCCACACAAGUAAAUGAGUGUGUGAAUCGCCACCAAAGCUACUGGCAGAGUUUGGAUUUUUCAUUUACAGCUUCUGGGGGUUUGAUGGUAAAGUAUCUUCUCUUUUUAUUUUGUGAAAUAUUAUCAAUAUUUUACUUGCUUUUGUAUUAUUGGCGCUAAUUUCGCUACAGCCUCUGUUAUACACUAUUUCUAUAACUUCUGCCACUAUCACUUGCUGUAUUGUAACAGUUGACACUGAUAGACAUCUGAACUAUUACUACCACCACCACUUUGGGGAAUAACACGUUUGUUUUUAUUUUAUGUAAAGAUUACAAUUUUUAUAAAUCUGUUAGCAGAUAGUUUUUGUUAUCAUUUGAAUCAUGCUGUUUGAAUUGUUCUGUUAAAAUGUAUUGAUAAACCUACAGUAUGUUCUGUAGAGAACACAUUGCACAUCAAAAACGCAAAAAGCUAUGACUGUAUAUUUUAUUAAACUAUAUAUUAGAUCAAUUUCUUUAACAAGAGAGAAGAGAGUCACAUGAAAAAGGAUUCACAUGCAGUACAGUGCCACACAGAAUACACAUGUAAAGUAAAGUGACGUACUAUUAAAGUAACUCAAACUUUGCGACGUGUUUAUUAACAAUAACAAUAUUUAUUUUAUUUCAAAUAGAUGAUUUAAAAGUAUCACAUUUUUACCUGCGUGUUGUACUGUACUUUAAUCUGUAUGUCGGUGUGAUUGGUGCUCAUACAUUGUAUGUCUCUUUGGUUUUAUAUUCAGUGGCGACGUCUUACUUUUUUCCUGACCGGUCGUGAAAUAAGUUUGAAUAAAACAUGACGGGUGACACCCGUUGACUGAAAGCUGGCAAAAAGA